rnacentral:lncRNA from 1 species
AGAGGAUGUAUCAGAGAGUUGCCACAAGAUGUGUGCUCUCUUAGGAUGUGCAGGUUGCAAAGCACAUGCUUAAACUGGGUAUGUGGCCCUUCUGGACCUGGCAGUCCUUGCUCAUCUUCAGCACUAGCAUGUGGAAAACACUGGAAAUGAGGACUGUAGGUUUCUCUGUUGGAUCUACCUCAAUAUCAAAAUUCUGUUGUAUCCAAUAGAAAAUGAAAGAAACCAAUUGUUAUGGGGUAGGUUUUGCAAUUUGUAAAACUGGUUUGCAUCAGAAUUAUAACUUCAGUGAGUUCAUGUGCUACCAGGAGAAAAGAGGUUUAAUUCUCAAAGUUCCCAGUGGUUAGUUGUGAUGGUAGCGUGAUUGUACCAGGGGGAAGGAGCUACAGUCACCAGUUCUAGCCCCAGCACAGAAGAGAGGUUUCUUCCAGCCUGAAUCUAAAAAUACAAGGUUUGGAUUAACCAGGACUGAAGUUACAGAGUGAGGGGGGUAACGUGUGUAAAUAAUGAGGAAAGGUGAAACAAGUGUAGAGGAAGAGAUACAUGGGCUAGGAAACCCAUUCAUCAGUGAGUAAAGGCACAAAGCUUAGCAAGAGAAACAUGCACGAGGCAGGAAAGAAAGGGAUUUAUGCGUAGAAGAGUUGCAAGUGUAAGAAAUGCUAAGAAUAACAGCAAAACUAUUCAGCGAGGGAAUUUUAUUGGAGAAAAUGAGAACGUUUACAUAACAGGAUGAUUAUUCCUCUUAAGGGAACAAAGAUCAAGCCAAAAAAACAAGCGUGCUGACUAAUAUUCUGUCUUCCCUACGGAGGUUUUGGCAAGUUGUAAUCAGCCCCCUGGUAUUUUCUGUGUCUUCGCAGUGGCAGAAGCGCUUUAACAUCGCCAGUGAGCUGCAGCAUCUAAUAUAAAUGGGAAGAGGAGGCAAGGAGGAAAACAACAGCAGUGUUUUGGUUCCUUUUGUCAGGCCAGUGCAGGUGAUGCAGGCUUUGAGAACGAGUCGUUGUGUGGCAUCGGGAUUUACCUCCAAGAGCCUGGGCUGGAGAGUUUGGCCGGGGAGCUGCCGGACGCUGGGGAGCCUGGCCGGGGGCCUGGCGGGACCGCAGGAGGAUCCGUCUGUCCAGCCACGACGAGCCCUCCAGCCGGGGAGCGGGGAGCGAUGCGGUUCCAGUAGCUCCGCAGAGCUGGAGCGAGGAGAGCCCAGUUUCCAGUGGAUUUGUGCCAUGACGCUGAUUGAUUUUGCUGUCUAGAAGGUAGAGUUCCCGCUGAAGCUUUCACUGCUGCUGUGAAAUGUGUGAGGGAUCUGUCCACCAAGGAGCCUAGGCAGGUUAAACUGAUUAUUUUUCCCUCUUUCACAGUAGAGGCUUCAUCCCUUGAAUUCUUUGAAUCAGAGUUAAAAAUAUUUACUAGCUCAAACAGAUGUUUUCGGUUUAUCGUAGCGGUGUUGGGUAAGCUGCACUUGGCCUGUGUUGUUCAAGAGGUUAGUUAAUCCCCGUGUUCUACCCUUCCUCAAAAGCAGUGACUCAGUUGACCCAGGUAAGGGAUUAGUUGAUUCAAUGAGUAUUUUGUCAAUAGAGAACUGCAGUUGGAUCAGGUACUUACGCUGACAUUUCUCCUGGCUCAGUGAAAUACCUCAGUAUCUGUAUUGUCUUGCAGUAUCGCGUAAACCCCUUCUGUGAUCAGUGGAGAAAAAAUACGUGUUUCGAGAGAGCUUCAGUCUUAAGGGACAUAUACUCUUUGGGAAUCAACACACUGUAGAGCAUAUACACAAUAGAUAGUCUUGCAGUCAGUAAUCUCACCUGUAAGCGUUAUAAAGGUCUUUUGUGUUUGGUUCACAGUCUGUGUGCAAACACUGCUCUUUGAUAUCCGUGUUGGUCCACAGGGAGAAUGUGCUGGAAAAGAACCUUUGAUUUCAACAUUGAGAGGGAAAAUACUUAUGUCUCUAGCUCCCAGGACAGGGUGGAAGUGGGAAAACUGGGGGACGUUAGGAGCAAGAGACAGAAAUAAGAGAAGGAAUAAAGGAAUGUGAAGACAGAAAUAUUUGACUAUU